rnacentral:lncRNA from 1 species
AUGGCUCAGGCAACCAAAGGUCCCGCAGUGAAGCCCAUCUCUCCCACCGGUGUAGAUGCCCCGGCUAGGGUGGCGCACCCAGACUCACUUACAGUCCGGAGCCAUGGAAUUUUACAAAUCAUGAAUCGCCCGGCACAAUGGGUGGUCAUCAUCACACUUCUGAUCUCUUGGUCAAUAGCGGGUGUUGUCAUGUUUGACUUUGUCAGUGACGAUCAGAUUGCAAGCAUCCAAGAUUUCGGCUCUGAUCCAGUGCUAGCAGUGAACAAAGCCACUGAAGUCAUUGAAAACAGGAUAAAUCACAUGAAUGAUAUGUUUAAUGAUGCUCAAGAGUACAUCACUGAAAUAAUAUUAAAUCCAGUGGAAGCUAUGAGUUCAGCUGCUGACUCAUCUGUGUCUUAUCUGUCAGGAUUAUUUAGUGCCGAUGUAGAUUUAGGAAUCACUGAAACAGUGAAAUAUGGGGGCACUGUAUUGGAUGAGGCUACAGAAUGGAUCAGAUCGCCAGUGAGCUAUGUAUUCCAUUUAUUUGAAGACAUACUGGAUAUAGUGGUUGCUCCAGUGGAUAUGGUCAGUGAAGCUCUUGUGCAAAUUUUAAGUGGGAUCAAGACUGUUAUACAGUAUAUUUCCACAAUGUUUGGAGGCAUUGAAGAGCACACAGGCAUCACUGAAACAGUGAAACUUGGUGGCACUGUAUUGGAUGAGGUUACUGACCGGAUUAGAUUCCCAGUGGCCUACUUAUUCCACUUAUUUGAAGAUAUCCUGGAUGUAGCAAUCAUUUAUCCAGCAGACAUUGUCAGUGAAGCAGCUCAGCAAAUGUUAAGUGGGAUCAAGACCCUUUCUUCAUCCAUAUUCGGGAACCUUGAAGCUUGGUUUCCCAAAAUAAGCACUGAUCCUGCAGAGCUGACUGAAAUAGUUGUAGAGGAGGCCACAGAACUGAAGACCACCGUUUCUAAUUACCUAUCCAGUCUGUUUGCAGUGGAUGAAGGUUGUAUUCCUGACAUUAGCUUUGAUCCCAUGAAAGUUGUCACAGACACUGUUGAGGAGUUUGCUGACAGGAGGGAUAUGUUCUUGGCUUAUCUCUCAAACAUGCUCAUGGAAGACAAAGAUGACACACCGCAAGUGAUAAGACGAAAAGGAGAAUUUCUGCCCCCUAUGGAAAAAGUUCUUGAACAAGUGAAAGAAGCCAAAGAGAAAAAAGCUAGAGAGGAGAUAUACAAAAUCAUUCAAGAUCUGAGGGAGAAGAAGGCUGAUGGUGAAGAGGAGGAGAUGACACUACAGCAAAUAAACAUAACAGUAGAAAAAGUCAAGAAAAGAAAAGAACAUGAGAAAAACGAGAUAGAAAAGGCUAAAAGAAAACAAAAAUCCAAAGAGGACAAGACUGAAGAACCAACAAGACCUGAGAAAAAGGUUAAACCAACUAAGAAAGAUGUUGAGAUGGCCAAGGACAAAACAGCCCAUGUAAAGAAAGAAGCUGAAGUGGCCAAAAAAGAGACCAAAUCAGCACCAUCUAAGAAAGGUAUUGUUUUAAGAGAUCUUGCUUUACUUAGCACUUAUAAUAAAGCAAAUUCAUAA